rnacentral:siRNA from 1 species
AACCGCACACGCGACCGCUUCCGC